rnacentral:rRNA from 1 species
UACGUAGGGGGCAAGCGUUGUCCGGAAUCAUUGGGCGUAAAGCGCGCGCAGGCGGUCAUCUACGUCUGGGGUGAAAGCCCGGAGCUCAACUCCGGGACUGCCUUGGAUACGGGAUGACUUGAGGAUCGGAGAGGCAAGGGGAAUUCCACGUGUAGCGGUGAAAUGCGUAGAGAUGUGGAGGAACACCUGUGGCGAAGGCGCCUUGCUGGCCGAUUUCUGACGCUGAGGCGCGAAAGCGUGGGGAGCAAACAGG